AGCUCCAAUAGCGUAUAUUAAAGUUGUUGCAGUUAAAAAGCUCGUAGUUGGAUUUGUGGCGUACGAUGGGUUCCCGGCAAUUGUUGUCGGUGGUACUUGUCGUUGCCAUCCUUGGGUGGAAUCUGUGUGGCAUUAGGUUGUCGUGCAGGGGAUGCCCAUCUUUUACUGUGAAAAAAUUAGAGUGUUCAAAGCAGGCUUACGCCGUUGAAUAUAUUAGCAUGGAAUAAUGAGAUAGGACCUUGGUACUAUUUUGUUGGUUUGCGCACCGAGGUAAUGAUUAAUAGGGACAGUUGGGGGUAUUCGUAUUCCAUUGUCAGAGGUGAAAUUCUUGGAUUUUUGGAAGACGAACUACUGCGAAAGCAUUUACCAAGGAUGUUUUCA
rnacentral:rRNA from 1 species